GAUCAAGAUUUUCAUUUUGAGCUCAGCCUUUUCGAGCUACAGCAACAAAUUGUUUCACUGAAUUUGGUAGAGGCACCGCCAUCUCGUGCAAAUGAAGAUAUCUAGUGGAUGAAGGUGCUGUGGUUGUCUGCUCACACCGAGAUUGUGAAGUUGCAGUAUUUCACCACAAGGACUGUGUCAACUUCUCUGAGGGCGUUGACGACGACAACGCGUGGAUAUGUCCUUAUUGUAGAUCUGACCGUUGAUCUGACUGUAACCAUUGAACUCUGAACACACGAACAAAAAGCCCUGGGCAUGGCUAUGGCGGCUUCUCAGCUCUGCGGCUAUGCGUCUAAGGAGUUUGUGAUCAGUCACAAUGUCAAAUCCGCUGUCAGAUUGCUGCUCUACUCCAGAAGCAGGCUUUUCGCCUUUUAUCUUAUGGUGAUUUGAUGAUUUAUGGUGAUUUACCAAAGUUAUAUGACAUUCUUAAUUCUGCCA